rnacentral:rRNA from 1 species
GAUGAACGCUGGCGGCGUGCCUAAUACAUGCAAGUCGAGCGAACAGACGAGGAGCUUGCUCCUCUGACGUUAGCGGCGGACGGGUGAGUAACACGUGGAUAACCUACCUAUAAGACUGGGAUAACUUCGGGAAACCGGAGCUAAUACCGGAUAAUAUCUUGAACCGCAUGGUUCAAUAGUGAAAGACGGUUUUGCUGUCACUUAUAGAUGGAUCCGCGCCGCAUUAGCUAGUUGGUAAGGUAACGGCUUACCAAGGCAACGAUGCGUAGCCGACCUGAUAGGGUGGUAGGCGACACGGGAACUUAGACACGGUCCAGGCUCCUAAGGGAGGCAGCAGUAUGGAAUCUUCCGCAAUGGUCGAAAGCCUUACGGAGCAACCGCGCGUGAGUGAUGGAAGUCUUCCGAUCGUAAAACUCUGUUAUUAGGGAAGAACAAAUUUGUAAGUAACUAUGCACGUCUUGACGGUACCUAAUAAGAAAGCCACGGCUAACUACGUG